UCCGGUUUGUCACCGGCAGUCCCAUUAGAGUGCCCAACUGAAUGUGGCAACUAAUGGCAAGGGUUGCGCUCGUUGCGGGACUUAACCCAACAUCUCACGACACGAGCUGACGACAGCCAUGCAGCACCUGUGUCCAGGUUCCCUUUCGGGCACUCCCGCAUCUCUGCAGGAUUCCUGGCAUGUCAAGCCUAGGUGAGGUUCUUCGCGUUGCAUCGAAUUAAACCACACGCUCCGCUGCUUGUGCGGGCUCCCGUCAAUUCCUUUGAGUUUUAGCCUUGCGGCCGUACUCCCCAAGCAGGGCACUUAGUGCGUUAGCUGCGGCACCGGAGGGGUCGAUACCCCCGACACCUAGUGCCCACCGUUUACGGCGUGGACUAC
rnacentral:misc_RNA from 1 species